rnacentral:rRNA from 1 species
UACGAGGGGGGCGAGCGUUGUUCGGAAUUAUUGGGCGUAAAGGGUGCGUAGGCGGUUCCGCAAGUCCUGUGUGAAAUCUUCGGGCUCAACCUCGAACUUGCGGUGGGUACGGGCAGACUAGAGUGUGGUAGGGGAGACUGGAAUUCCUGGUGUAGCGGUGAAAUGCGCAGAUAUCAGGAGGAACACCGAUGGCGAAGGCAGGUCUCUGGGCCACUACUGACGCUGAGAAGCGAAAGCAUGGGGAGCGAACAGG